GUAGGGAAUCUUGCGCAAUGGGCGAAAGCCUGACGCAGCCAUGCCGCGUGAAUGAUGAAGGUCUUAGGAUUGUAAAAUUCUUUCACCGGGGACGAUAAUGACGGUACCCGGAGAAGAAGCUCCGGCUAACUUCGUGCCAGCAGCCGCGGUAAUACGAAGGGGGCUAGCGUUGCUCGGAAUUACUGGGCGUAAAGGGCGCGUAGGCGGAUAUUUAAGUCGGGGGUGAAAGCCCGGGGCUCAACCUCGGAAUAGCCUUCGAUACUGGAUAUCUUGAGUACGGGAGAGGUGUGUGGAACUCCGAGUGUAGAGGUGAAAUUCGUAGAUAUUCGGAAGAACACCAGUGGCGAAGGCGACACACUGGCCCGUUACUGACGCUGAGGCGCGAAAGCGUGGGGAGCAAACAGGAUUAGAAACCCCGGUAGUCC
rnacentral:rRNA from 1 species